rnacentral:tRNA from 2 species
GGAAAGGUGCCAGAGUGGCUGAUUGGGCUCCCCUGCUAAGGGAGUGGAUCCUUUGGGUCCCGUGGGUUCGAAUCCCAUCCUUUCCGCCA